rnacentral:piRNA from 1 species
UAGAUGAAUAAUAUGCUGACAUUUGAACUA